GCCAAAUAAGGAUGCACAGUGUAUUGGGAACUUCCUCCUUUUACUGACUUUCCUAACACCUGCCCUUACAAGAUCCCCAGUGCUACCCACAUUUACCUACUAGCACUUGGCUGUCUCAAAUUCUCUUAAAAGAAAGAAUGGAGGAAAGAAAACGGGCCUUCUGUCAUUGAAACUCACACCUCUGAUGAUGUCUAUUGCAAGCAGUCUGCUGGGGGGGGUACAACACUGCCUCAGAAUCUCAGUUUCAGAUAGCUUGUGUCCUGAGCCACCACACUGGCUCAUUGUUUACAGUGCCAAGGGUUUCAUAACACUCCUCCAGUCUGGGGCGUAGAUUGGAUGCUAAAACUAUUUUUAAAACAAUGCCAUCCAUUUCAGGUUUAUAGCACAUGCCAACAAGUAUGUUAGAUAGGUCUCAGCUUGCUAGUAAAAUGGCUCAAUUAUUAUUUCAGUUCUUGAAAGACAGUCUGUGCAGUAUAUUAAAAAAAUACCCAACAACAACAAACCCCAACACAUUAGGAACUGUUGUUAAGGAAAUACUAUUGCCCCUGCUUCUAAAUUUGUUGCCAUUUAAACUGUAAUAGGAUUAGUAAAUAUUUAUCUAGUUGAUGUUCAAGUGUGUAUAUAUGUAUUAGUCCAGGGGACAGAGAGGCUACUGUGAAAUAAUGUCUCUCUGAUAGCUAGAGGCUCUCCAAAGUGUUUCACAUCUAAUCUCCAGAUCAGAGAAUGCUUAGAUGGAAGGUCAGAACUGCUCUUUACAUCCUUUCUUCUGCAGCAGGAAAAAAGGGGAAUGAAAAUGAAGGUAUAUUAUGCAGAGUUCAGAAGGAGACUUUGUCACAACGCCUUCUUCCUGGAAAUCUGACGCCUCCCACUGGAAACCAGACAUUUUAAAAUGACUUCUGACUAUUCAAAGAUUCUGGACCACCCAGUUCAGCAUUCCUUUAGUGGAAAAUCACAAUUUCUAGUUCUGAGUAGGUUUUCAUUUAGGAACACUGAUUAGAUUUAGAAACACUGAUUAUAUAUUUUUAAAGGAUAAAUGUGGCCAUAUUAGAAAUAAAACUAAAGAUACCUUAAAAGUA